rnacentral:rRNA from 1 species
AGGACGAACGCUGGCGGCACGCUUAACACAUGCAAGUCGAACGUGAAGCUCGGAGCUUGCUCCGGGUGGAAAGUGGCGAACGGGUGAGUAACACGUGAGGAACCUGCCCCGAAGACUGGGAUAACACCGGGAAACCGGUGCUAAUACUGGAUGCCUUCUCCGGAUCGCAUGAUCUGGCGAAGAAAUGGAUUCCGCUUCGGGAUGGCCUCGCGGCCUAUCAGCUUGUGGUGGGUAACGGCCUACCAAGGCAACGACGGGUAGCUGGUCUGAGAGGAUGUCCAGGCCACACUGGGACUGAGACACGGCCCAGACUCCUACGGGAGGCAGCAGUGGGAAUCUUGCGCAAUGGGCGAAAGCCUGACGCAGCGAUGCCGCGUGCGGGAUGGAAGGCCGUUCGGUUGUAAACCGCUUUCAGCGAGGACGAAGUUGACGUACUGCAGAAGACGCCCGCAACUCGUGCCAGCACGCCGCGGUAAUCGUGAGCGG